CCUACGGGUGGCUGCAGUGGGGGAUAUUGCACAAUGGGGGGAACCCUGAUGCAGCGACGCCGCGUGGGUGAAGAAGCGCCUCGGCGCGUAAAGCCCUGUCAGCAGGGACGAAAAUGACGGUACCUGAAGAAUAAGCCCCGGCUAACUACGAGCCAGCAGCCGCGGUAAUACGUAGGGGGCAAGCGUUAUCCGGAGUGACUGGGUGUAAAGGGGGCGCAGACGGCGGUGCAAGCCACGAGUGAAAGCCCGGGGCCCAACCCCAGGACUGCUCUUGGAAAUGCGUGGCUGGAGUGCAGGAGGGGCAAGCGGAAUUCCUGGUGUAGCGGUGAAAUGCGUAGAUAUCAGGAGGAACACCAGUGGCGAAGGCGGCCUGCUGGACUGCAACUGACGUUGAGGCCCGAAAGCGUGGGGAGCAAACAGGAUUAGAUACCCUUGUAGUC
rnacentral:rRNA from 1 species